rnacentral:lncRNA from 1 species
GGUGAUGUGGCACAAUCUUGGCGAUUAUUUUCUCCCCAAGUCUUGACACUAGAUGGUGACAUGUAGCACCAAGUUCAGCCAUUUUCACCCUAUAAAUAGAACCUCUCCCACCCUCAUUUUCUUCACACCUUUCCCAUUCUUUCUUCUUUUUACUCUCUCUCUAGAACCUCUCACUAGCCCCGAAACCCCCGAAAAGCCUAGGGAACCUCCCUAGCAUGAGGCGGAAGCCCCGGAGUGCUCGACGGCUCCGAGAGGAAGAGCUUUUCGGCUCGGGAGCGCUGCUCCAAGCAAAUCCCGGUUUUCUAUAAAACCCGCUGUAAGUGAGCUACGCUGAUAUGAGUAUAUUUAGUUAUAAAAUUCAUCCAUUAUCUUAAUACUUUAUGUUAAUUUUAUCUCAAAUAAUGAACCAAAGGUGAUUAAUUAGCUUAAAUAUUUCACUUUUAGUAACAAAGACAUGCUCGGAUGGAAAAGGAAGCGGAAUUGGCGAUUGGACGCUUGGAUCUUGGAUUUUGAAGAAAGAAGGAUGUUGCUGGACAGCUUGACCCCACGUCAGUGUUUUGGCCAUAUCUCACGAACCGUAACUCCGAUUGACGAGAUUCAAAAUGUUAUGAAAAGUAGACACAAUUUCGGACGACUUUUGUGUUUUGAGAAAAUGCUGAUUCGAAACGUACUCGGCGAGUAGGGUCGAUUACUCGGCGAGUUGUAUCGAACUCUCGCGAUUCUGGACGCGCUGACUUGCCGUACACGGGUUUUAAGUGACGGACUCGCCGAGUAGGUCACUGGACUCACCGAGUAGCCUCUGCUUUGUGAAAAUCUAUAUAAAGGGACUUUCAGAUCGAUACCCUGGCAUGGAGAGAAACCCUAGGAGGCUGAGAAACGAUUGGAAGUGCUGCUAGGUCGUGAGGAACUGAAGAAUCAACCCUACAUUCAAUUGUGAAGAGAAUCAAGACAAUUUUGGUUUAUUCUUAGUAACUUUUUGAUUUGAAUCAUGUUUACAUACUUUGAUUUCGUUUUUGAGUUUAUGUUUACUGCAAUCAUGAGCUAAAAACUUAUUCUUCUGUUAGGGUAGACAAUUUUGUGAACAUGGAUUGAUUAUUUGAGUAGGAUUAAUUUUAAUUGGUAAUUAUGUUUUGUUAAGCUUGUUAAAGAACCUUAUGUGUUGACAAUAACUAUUCUUCUGUUAAUAAAUUAGUAAUUAAGUUGUAUGAACAUCUCUUAGUUAUUAAUUUCAUAUGAUUUAUUGUGACCACAUAGUUGUAUGUCUAGGAAUAACGAAUGUGAAACUAGAAUUAACUAGAAGAUAGGUAAGUUAAUGUGUGAGCUUGUUUGAUGAACAUCAGCAAUAGGUUAAUUGAAGGGUCAAUUUAAUUAACCAUUACAAGUCUUACUUAACCCGAAUCAAUAAUCUAGGAAACCCGUUAAUUUAGACAACUGGCCAUUGCUUGAGUUAAUUUGUUUUCUAAGAAUUAGGAAUAGCGAACGUGAACCUAAUUAUCUUAAUCGGUAGCCAAUGAAGAAUUAAUCUGAUACAUUAAAAUCAUCCAUGGGAACAAAUGAGUCGUACCUAAACAGAAGUCCUCUUUACUAUUGAAUUUAGUUGGUAAUUAAUUGUUUUAGUUGCUAGUUAGUUAAUUUGUGUGUUGGUUAUUCUAAUUAAGUUUCUAGUCUUGUAAAACUAGAGAAAACCCCCUUUUUGUUAUUUGUUUUAUUUAGAUAAUAUUAGCAUUUAUUUUAAUUGUUUACCGUUCCCUGUGUUCGAUACCCUACUUGCUUGAACUAUAUUACUAAUCGAUAGGUACACUGCCUUUCGUGUGUUUAUUUUGUGUCUAAGUUAGUAGGAUUAAAACUAGUUGGUUUUACACACAUCAAGUUUUUGGCGCCGUUGCCGGGGAACGGUUCAAAUAGUUAAUUUUAUUUGCUAAUUGUUAUCGGUUUUAUUUUAUUGAUUAUUUUUUUAUUUAGUUUAAUUUUUAUCUUUAUUUUUUAUUAUGUAUUUUCCAAAUCUCGAUGCUUUUGAUGCUUUUCUUGAGGAAGUAGUGCAGGAAGAUGAGGAUUAUGACUCGGAUGAAGAUUUGAAGAAAUUUGAUAGAUGGUUAGAUAUCAUCUUGUCUAACGAUCAAGAACAAUCUGAGUCACAAGAGCUAGAUUUACAAGAUGAUGAAUUUAAUCCAGAAAGAGACUUGGAGGAGCUGCAAAGGUUGCUAGCAGAGAGGUCAGACGAAGAACAAGAACAAGCUGAAUUGCAGGAACCAAGUUGUGGUUUGACCAUUACCACGACAUGGUCCCAUGUUCUUCCGGUUUGUGUUUCGAAGCAUGGGGUGACGAUUCCAACUUUGGAGAAAGUUCUGAAGCGCGAUCCAUUUCUGAUUAGUACCCGACCGGUCCCAACCCUUGUCAGAAUUCUUGGGUUUUAUGUAUUAAAGCUCGUUUGGCCAAUUUUAGAAGCAAAGAGUCAAAUUUUACAAAUUGGUCCACCAAAGAAAAUAUUUAAUGCAACGGAUGGAUUGGCAAUGAGUUUAUUGGAAGUUUAUUAAGUUGGGAGUCCAGCUCAAGACUCGCACAAAAAGAAGCGCUUGCGGGAGGCAACCCGUCAUUAGAGUUUUCUUUUCUUUUUCUUUCUAAACUUCUAGUGUUUAAGGAUAAUUUAGGAUUUUUUUUAUUUUAAUGUUUUUUUUUUUUCUUGGUUUUCGUUUUUGAUCUUUUCAGUUUGAGUGUAAGGAUGCAUGUGAGGGUCUAGAGUCAAGGCUGACGAAGCGAGAAAUCGAGUCUAGGCGAGAGAGGAAACGAAGUUUUGAGUCAAGCUAUGAGUCCAAUUGAUAGAAGGGUUAUAGAGUGUUUAUUCCCUGAAGAAAAAUGAGGGAAUAAUUAUUAGUUUAUAUAACCCCCAUACAUCAGAAACGGACUUGGGCAGAAUAAAAUUUUUGUCACACAGCGGUCUACUCGCCGAGUGCAUCUUAUGGACUUGCCGAGUCCAUGUGAAAAUCCACGAUUCUUCUGCCAUUUACGCUUCAACUCGGUGAGUCUACAUACUUACUCGACGAGUCACUCAUUCUUCUUACUUUUGAGCUGAAGAUUUGAUGACAUUCGAUAUGGGCAUUGGUUCUAUUCUUUGAAGAUCAUUUUCCGAGCAUUUCCAAGAGUUUUUCCCUUAUAUUUGGAGCUUUUAUAAAGAAUGUACCACACGAGAUUUUGAUACCCAAGACAUGGAUGGUUUGUUCCCAUGUCUAAAGUCAAUUGAAGAUGGAGCUGAAGAGAAAAGAUAUCAACCUCGCCACUACUAUCCCAGGGGAGUUUGUUCCAAAUCUCUCUUUAUUUUAUUGUUCUUUAUCAUGCAUAAUAUGCAAUGGGGACAUUGCAUAAAUUAAGUGUGAGGUAGCGGGUUGGUUAAAUUAGUUAAAUUUCGAAAAUCUUGAAAUUUUAGUUAAUUUUGAAAUUUUUGCAUUAAAAUUGCUAGGGCUAAUUUAGAAAAUUUUGGUAAAGCAAUUAGGGAUCAUGCUAGUAUUAUAUUAUGAUUUUACGAAGACCCAAAUGUUUAGUUAAGCCUAUAUACAUUCUAGUGUAUUUGUGGCUUCCUUAUUCUAGUGAAAUCAUGGGACAAAAACACGACCUCGCUCAGCCUGAGGGAUGCAAUAUGUUUAGCAUCGUGUACCAGAAAUGUAUCCAGGAAAAUUGUUAUCUUUAGCCAAUAAAGGUUGAAGUUGAGCGCCCCUGCUUAAGCAUGUAGGGAUUUGAGUGAAAAAAAGUGAGGAAAAAAAAAGAGAAAGAGAAAAGAGAGAGAAAUUACAAGAAAAGUUUGAAGAAUUUUUGGAGCAUCAAAGUCGAAUAUAAAAUUAGAAGAUCAAAAAUUCUGAAGAAAUUCAAAAGUUGAAGAUACCCAAAAAUUAAAGAUCAAAUGUCAAAGAAGUGAAGAAUUCCAAAUGAGCUCCAUAGUGGUAUCAUAAAUUGUAACUGUCUAGAUUAUGUAUGCUUGGGUUGCUCAACCAAAAAUACCUUGAGGUUAGGAGGUUUUCUGAGGAUGGAUUCGGAGGGAUGCAUAAAAUGAGCAUUGUUCGGAAAAAGUGGGCGNUUUAUGAGGAUUGUAAGUAUUUAGAAUUGAGGGGGGUCCUUAGGAAAAAUUUUAGACACAAAUGCAUGCAUUGCGGUCUUGGCAUAAUGGCUGGGUUCGAUUGGGAUUGUCUUAUGUAAUAUUAGUGUACUAAAAUUCAGUUUUGCUUGGGGGCAAACAAAAGUCAAGUGUGGGGGAUUUUGAUAUGAGUAUAUUUAGUUAUAAAAUUCAUGCAUUAUCUUAAUACAUUAUGUUAAUUUUAUCUCAAAUAAUGAACCAAAGGUGCUUAAUUAGCUUAAAUAUUUCACUUUCAGUAACAAAGACAUGCUCGG